AGAGAAGAGGGCCUCACAUUUGCUUCUGAUUCCACGCAACUUCCCAUCUCUCUCGUUCUUUCCACCGCCACCGCCGCUAGGGUUGCCGCCGCCGCUGCCAACGCCGCCCCAAGCCGUAUUCGCCUCGACGGGUCUCAACCUGCCAGGCGGAGCGACCCCCCGAUGCCGGUGCUCGAGGGCGAGGGAAGCUUCUAGAAGGGGGCUGAGGAGGCGUGGUUAGGCCAUUAGGGUCUGACUGGUGUUGGGAGGCGGGGCCGGAUUGGGGGAGGUUUCGAGGGAGGAGGGGACGCGGAUGAGGGCCGCUGCAACGUCGGGGACAUCUUGCCGGGGACCAUUGUGUGGGUGCGGCGAAGGAACGGCUACUGGUGGCUCCGACGGGAUCUUGGGCCAAGGCGAGUUGCCGCCAUCGCUGAUCAUGUCUCCCAGGUCUGGCACGCCGGACAAGCUUCUCGGCCACGAGGACGCCAGCAUGUCCUCGCUCGCUUCACAAUCCAUACAGGAGGGGGACUGCAUACUAUAAGUGCCUCAAAAUGUUUUCUGUUGCGGCUGAUCUAGAGAUGGUCUCCACAAGAAAAAAUUGGACCAGUUGACCUUCCACGGGCAUGCAUAUCAUGAUAUAAUCAAGAGCCACAAAUUUUAGUUUUGCCUUUUUCACAUAGCUUUUAAAGAUAAACGAGGAUCUGCCUGAUGCAGAUGGCACAUGACAGAUUCUGAUUAAUUAACUAGCGCGAAGGAUUGUGGUGAAUUAGUCGGCCACCAGUGAAGCCUAGCAGCAGGAAAAAACUAAAUGUAGACCAUUUCAUCAGAAUUUGUACAAGAAGGCGGGGAUGAGCGUAUGGCAGCAAGGGAGGCGGCUCGGCUCGGACCGGCCAUGGCGCUAGCGCUUCUGAUUCCCCACCGGCCUCCUUAGUCCCCUAGCCACAACCGGCUCCAAUCCCUCGUCUGCUAUGGUGCUGUGGGAGGAAGAGGAAGAGUAGGCAUGCUUUCUGCUGCAUCCAGCAUCCACACGUCAGAUUGACGAGCCUAAACUCUGGGCUUUGAGAAGGCUUCAAUUUUCAGAAACUGUUGCCCAGAGAGAUGUCGAUGAAGCACUACGCCUGUUGCAGAUGUCAAAGUACUUGAUCUACUUUGAUGACCGCCAGCGGUCUAGCCUUGAGGUGAUCUCUGACAUAUACUCCAUCCUGAGAGAUGAAGCAGCAAGGACUAGCAACAUGGAUGUCAAAUUUGGUCUUUCUCUUAACCUUAUCUCCAGAAAGUUAUAAUCUCUACCUAUGGCUACAUUAAUUAGUCCAUUGCUGGGCAUUGAUUGCUAACAGAAAUUCUCUCCUGCUCCAAUGUUUGUGAGAAUAGGAGUGCACUGAGGCUCAGCUGAAGGAAUGCCCGGAGGAGUAUGCAUCCUUGAACGUGUGGCAGAUCCACCCAAGCACAUUUGACAUACAGUUCUGCGACGCCUGAUCCAGGAACAAACAUUCCAUCAUAAUCAGACGAUUGUGAUGCAUGAUUAGGGCGUCUAAUGCCAUUGUUUGGGAUCUAUUAAGUUUGAAGGACCUUAGUGAUAGCACAUGCAGAUUGAUUACAGUUCUACAGAUUUUUAUGCAUAAAUGGAAGUACAGUGGUAGACCUGAGAAGGUUUGAACAUUUAUUUCAUAAUUGGGGAAUCAAUUGUUGACCAAGUUGCUCCAUUCUAAUUCCUGCUGAUAAUUUUAUUCUUCUUACUCCCUUUUUUGGGUGUUGUUAAUGAUGUUGGUUGUUUGCAUAUUGUCUAAAGAUAUAAUCCUCACUAAGUAAUUAUUUCUGUAAGUUGCAAAUAGAAAUGUAGCACUAAAACGAUAAGGUUGUAUUAACUUCCUCUUUCUUUUCUUUUCAUCUGCUUUUGAUUCAUAUUUCGGUUAUUUGCUGUUACUAAUGAUAAGAUUUUUUUGUGUGCGUAGUUCAUUGACUCCUUAUUACAAUGAGCAUGUCCUUCUUUCCAUAAAAGAGCUUGAGGAGGUAAAUGAAGAUGGUGUUUCCACUCUGUUCUACCUACAAAAAUUUACCCAGAUGAAGGGAUGAGGUAAAUGAAGAUGGUGUUUCCACUCUGUUCUACCUACAGAAAGUUUACCCCAGUUGAGGGAAGAGGAAGAACAUUUUCUCUUUAAGCAGUCACAAAUAACAAAUUAUAUUCUGAAGCAACCUGGCAUUUACUGUGUGUGCCUAUGCUUAUGUAUGCAGAUGAAUGAGCUUCCAAGCAAGGGUUCAUUGGGAGUAAGAACUUAAAGAAAAUGAAGAACCACUGAAGGAAGAGCUUCGCCCAUGAGCUUUGGAUAAAGAGGUCAAACGGUAAUUUGAACGGCUACUAUUGAUUAACACUAUUUUGUUGAUUUAAGCUACACAUAUCACCCAAUAAUGCUUAAUCAUGUGAUUAAUCUGAAAACGUAUGAGGUUCACCUAUGUGUUAUCAUGCCAGCAAUUUGGAAAUGACAAGUGUUCUGGUCAUUCUAAUGCCCAUGUAAGUGUAGCUCUUCUAAUCUUAUUAGAUUUGCGACAUGCUCCAUUUCUGUUCAAUAAUUGAGCACACAAUGCUCUUAAGCUUACUUAAAUUGAGAAGGAAGCUUAAGAUGUAGCUUCCACACCUGUCUUGAUGUAGUUAAAGAUGUAGCUUCCACACCCGUCUUGGUGUAGUUAAAACUUAAAACGAAUGUAAGGGAAAUUCAGGGAUGUAGUUUGCUCUGCUUCAUUCUAUUUUUUGUUCAACUUUAACAAAUGAUUCCUGAUAAAAUAUUCCCUCUUUAAUAUUUAUCUUUAUCAUUCUGGCUGAUUUCUGCUGACACUGACAACCUCCAAUUGCAGUACAUAUCCAGAGUCUUUUAACUUCUCUUUUUAGCUUUUGGUUUUCAAUUCUGUUACAUAUGAAUGAUGGAUUUUUCCUUUAUAUUUGUUGUUUAAGAAAAGCUAAUAACUACUCAUAUUAUUAUGAUUGUUGAUUUUCCAUUCAAUACAAAUCCUUUUAGGCAAUUUAAAUCUCAGCGAAUGUGGUAUUUCACUAAACAUGCGCUCAGAUUCUUCCAAGUUAAUAGUAUGAAUUCGAUUGGAUGGGACCACCAGAAAAUAUUUUACUUGUAGUUCCCAUUGCUGCAGAUAUUGGUUCUUCCUAAAUUUAUUCAUUAGGUAGUCAAUGCUUUUCUUAUUACUACAUUUUGCACAUAGCCAGAUUCUUUAAUAGCCACCAUAGUACUUAUUAAGUUAUUUGUUCUAUUUCAGGCAAUAAGAGCAUACCUCCUGUGUUGCAAUGUUCAAACCAGAAUUAGGCAUGAUUUUGGGAUUGUCCAGUGAAACUUUUCAGUUCUACCAUGUAUAUUCUUGGUGCUUGGAUUUAGUAUUAGACCUGGAGAUUCUACAUAAAUACAAAUAAUGUGUGGAUUUUCCUGUUGAAACUGCUUCUGUGUAAUAAUAUUUCUGGAAUGACAUUGUCAGUA